AGCAAAUCAGACUCAUCAGAUUCUGAAUUUUAAAAGCUGCUGAAUUUCUUACUUUGAAUUUUUUUUGCAUCAAAAUUACGUAUGUGAAUUUUUUAUGCCUGAAUUUAGCUCAUCAAAAUUCUAAAAACCAGUUAAAAAUUCAAUGUCUUCAAAAUUCACCAUCAAAAAAUUCAAUGUUCAAAAUUCGCCAUCAAAAAAUUCAAUGUUCAAAAUUCGCUGUCAAAAAAUUCGCUGUUCACAUCCGGGGGACUCAGGCGUAAACAAUCGAUCCUGGCCAAAAUCGAACCAACGCCCAGCCAAUCACGUGGCGGUCCUCCGGUCAUGUGACGCAGACGGUUCAUCUCACAAGACCGGGGUCAACCACGGCUACCAGCAUGAACGACGGCGCUUCACAACACCGUCUGAACUGACCAGUCUGUUGAAAUUCUGGACUGGAUGGGAGACUCUACCAAGAACUCUCUCCUCAGAAGUAGUGAAUGGCAGAUACCUGACAGCCUCCACCUGCUAUGAGACCUUACACAUCCCAGGACAUUACAAGGACCACACAUCAUUUAAGACUGACAUCCUGGCCUGUAUUUGCACUUGCCAGUCAAGAUAUGCUAGGUGUUGUUCUCUAGUUAGUUUUACUUGACUGACAAAACUAAGUGCACUUUUGGAUUCCCUCCCCUACCUGUUCUCCCAACUCACCUGACAGGUUAUCUGGCUCAAGUAUGCGUGUUUCUGCCAUACAUUUAAAGUAUCUGAAGUUAAGAAUAUUUCUGGUGAACAAUACAUGCAAUCACAGCAUUAAAGCAGGAGUUAAAAAUGAA